AGUAUUGUAUAUCUGUGGUUGCUAGGUACUGAAGGAAGGGCCUAGAGAUAGGUAGUUGUGCCAUAAGCUCUGGGAGGGGUUGUGGGAAAGGGUCUGCAGGAAGGUGGAGAUAGAAGAAGUACAGUGAGAUAUCUGCAGGAGCAGACCUUAACUGCUUGCUACGCUUCCCUAAAUUAGAACCAAGAGGAGCAGGAGGUCUAGGGUUUCUGUAGCUGCCUUCUGGGAAAGGGUGAAAAAGAGAAAGGGGGAGUAAAAGUGAAAGAAUUUUUCCCUUCUACUUAACACUAGAUUUGGUGCCCAUAUGAUGCAACAUUCUUUGUCCUCCUGUUGAUGUCUUUAUUCGAAGUGGUCUUGAAAAUGAGAGGGAGCCACAACCACGCCACUCCUCAUCAAGAAAUCUGGUUACGUGGUUAUUGAAGCUAGAGUUGCGGUGAUGUCCCUCAGAUUAAAGAGAAAUCAAUAGGUACUCUUGAAUGGCUUUUGAGAUAGCCAUAGAAAAAUGAGAAGUACAUAGAUGCGACGUAGAAAUCCAGAUGUAAACAGAGCAAUAAGGUUGUGCAUGCAGAAUAAAUAAUGCUAAUACAGAAUCUCUGAGUUAAGGACAAUAAAAUUAUUUGCCUUCUCUUUCUAUAUUUUGUGUGUUGGGGAUGGGGAGGGAAGAAUUCUGCUUAAAGUCUUGGACAGAAAUUCUGUAAGGC